CAUAGGACUCUAUAGUAUUAUGUUAAAAGAAAAAAAGUUAAAUUCACGUUUAUUAUAUUGUCUAAUACCAUCUAGCGUUGUAUACCAAAUAUGCACUUGAGGGGCAAGUAAACUGCAUGUAGUGUCAUGUAUGAAGCAUAUCUAGACCGUUUUCUUGAUAUGAAACUGAAGAGCUCCAAGGAACUUGGAGUAUUCCAUUUUGCCAGAAAACUUUUUGGUACAUUGAAAAAUCUAUGCCCUUUAUGUAAUGAAUUAGGAUGCAAGCUGAGAUGAAUUCAUUGUUUAAAUGAUCAAUAAUUAGAUAAGUCUGAUGCUUCAAAUUCUGGUGGCGAGAGGAGAAAUGGUUCAUAUGGGGGCAUCUAUGGUAGUUCCUGUAAUUUAACACACAGAGGAGACCUGGGGAGUACUAAAUUCACCAUUGAAGAAAUCUACAAGGCCACCAAAAACUUUUCUCCUAGCUUCAAAAUUGGACAAGGUGGUUUUGGGACAGUCUACAAGGGUCGACUCAAAGAUGGUACUUUGGUUGCAGUUGAGCGUACUAAGAAGGUUGGAGGUCGACAAAAAUGUCACCAGUUAUUGCUAGUUUUGUUUUUUAAGGUUCUUCUCUGUGUGCAGAUUGUCUAUGAUAAACCUUUAGGUACAGAAUUUCAGAGAAGUUCAAACACUGGCACAAGUGGAACAUCUAAAUCUAGUUAAAUUUCAUGGCUAUUUGGAGCACGAAGAUGAAAGGAUUAUUGUCAUGGAACAUGUUCCAAAUGGAACCCUUAGAGAACACUUGGACUGUAAGUUCUUUCUCACCAUAUUGUACAAUUAGUGCUUGUUAAUGAUAAAAUGGAAGAUUCUGGUAAUACACUCAGCCCGUGUUUGAGCCCAAUUUUUUCAAAAAUUCAUUUUUUCAAAAUUCAUUUUCAUCAACACAUUUUUUAAUAAAAUAAUUUAACCACAUAUUUUCCAAAAACUCACUAUUCAAAAAUACAUCUUCUCUUCAAAAUGGGGCUCAAACAAGGGCUCAAUGUACUUUUUUAUUUAUUUGCAACAAUUAUUGUGUCAUUCUCGUAAUUCCUAGAUAGAAAAGUUAUCAAAAUUCUCUCAUUCCUUUCAGGAUUUUUUACUCAAAUAUAUUCUAAUCUAUAUUAUCUAACAGCGAACAUGUGAUUCACUGGUCCAGGUGUGCACCGUAAUGUUCUUGAUUUUAUUGUGAGGUUAAAUAUAGCAAUAGACGCCUCACGCAAUUACCUAUCUC
rnacentral:lncRNA from 1 species